GUCAUUCUUUGGUGCUCUGUUUCAGAGCGCAGCCAAGGCCAAUGAGAACAAGGAAAAUCUGCAAGUUGAUGAGGUGCAGCAUAACCCAGAAGAGCCUGUUGAAGAGGAGGGAGUGAUGGUCACCGACAAGGUUUCACAGAGGAUGGAUGAGGACGUGGUCACCCUCGAGAACCUCUCGCAAGCCACAGUAACAGAUGCAGUCAAGGAGAGUGCCUUCGCAGAUGUGUCCUUUGAAGAGGAGGCGGUGGUGGCCACCGAUGACGGAGUGCUUUUACCGGUGACCUCACAGAUGUGUCUGUUGAAGAGGGCGAAGUGGUGGCCGCCGAGGUGCCACACAGCUCGGCCAUGGUGGAUUAGACUGUCGAGGAAGUGGUCACCGUCGAGAACCUGUCGCAGGCCACAGUGACAGAAGGUGAAGGGGCUGUCAAGCAGAGUGAUUUCACUGGCGACCUCUCACAGGCCGUCGACGCUGCCAGAGACUGCAGUAAUCACAUCACUUCUUCGCCGCUGUUUGCAGGCUUGUUUGAGGAACCAAUGGUGUUUGAGGAGUGCUGAGUUAAGUCGUCACCGUCAACAACCUGUCGCAAGCCACAGCAACAGAUGACUUCGCAGAUGUGUCCGUCGAAGAGGAGGAAGUGGUGGCCGCCGCUGACGAGAUGCCAAAGAGCCCAGAAACAUUGGAAGAGAAUGUUCAGAAAGUUGCCACCGUCGACAACAACCUGUCACAAGCCACAGUAACAGAUGACGAAUGGGCAGUCAAGGAGAAUGCUUUCGCCUGCUCACCGGUUUUCGACGAUGCCGGAGACUGCCGUGGUCAGUGGUCAUGUUUUCCAAGCUUGUUUGAGGAUGCCACCAAGUCCCUAUCCACGGACUCCAUCACCGUGGAGGCAACAACGGUUCCUGAAGCUGCUGCUGCGAAGAAAGUUACUGAACCUGUGGCAGUGGAGCAAGAGAAUUGAAGCAAGGCUAACCAAUCUGAAGCACUGGGUAGCCUGAGCCUAUGGAACGGUGCCUAGUACAAGGAAGAAGAAGACAUUGGAUACGUUUAGCCUAAGGAGGCUUAGACUGAAUCUCAAGGAGACACUGAAUGACCAGAAGAACAGGGAACCAAAUAGGGUGCCCCUCGGCAGGCUGGACGAGAAUUUAGCGUCUAAAUCGCAGAAGAGAGAGCACAAUAGGGUGCCCCUUGGCAGGUUGUGAAACCAUUUUCGUGAAAUCUAAGAGCUCUGCUAUACAUGUGACGAACCAGGCCCAGAACAGCCGAGGCCGCAUUUCUCUCUUGGUCAGUGCUGCUGCUACAAAAGAGUUGCCGCUGCAGCUGUGCGUCUCACCGCAAGUUGAUUCACUUGGUCCAUGUUGCUGCGCUGCACCCAGUCUGCGAUGCCGUGGCUGAUAAAGCAGACAGUAGGGCUAGACAUGUCUGUCAGUUUGACAACUAUCUAGGUGGGUUUGAGCAGGAAUUUUCAGGAAAGGAUUUCAUCUUCAAUCACCCCGGUGCACACAGCGCUUUAUUGCCAGUGUCAGACAAGUGUACACACGAGGAAUAAUAAAUCAUGUGGACCUUUUCAUGUCAAGUGGCAAAUAUGUGAGGAUAGUGCCCUAGAUUGAUGCCACCGGUUCCAGGGAGCAGGUGAAUAUCUAGAACACAUGGGCUUUCAUUUCACGCUCAAUUGGAAAUGAGCGUCAUACAAGUUGAACGACUUUGUUAAAAAAAAAAGUCCACUUGAGGCUAUAUUAUGACGUACAUUUGAGGCUAACUGGUGUCUCUGCGGAGCUCUUCUAUUGGCAAACUGGUGUUCACCGUGACCCUGCGUUGUUGAACUCGGCAAACACAUAUGAACUCGAUAACGACCGAUUUUUCAGUAGUUGAUUAUGCUUAUUUUAUCGUGAAAACUUUGAUAUUAUGCUUAUUUUUUAAAACUGUUUUCUCAGCAAAGAAAAACAAGAUGUAGAUUAUGAUCAGGGCAAGGACCAUCAGUUUUAGUCACUAAAUUUGUGUGCUACUCCCUCCGUUCCUAAAUAUUUGUCUUUUUAGAGCUUUCAAAUGGACUACCACAUACGGAUGUAUAUAGACAUCUUUUAGUGUAGAUUCACUCAUUUUGCUUCGUAUGUAGUCACUUGUUGAAAAUCUCUAUAAAGGGUUUCCCCCCGCUUUUACUUACAAAUCGCGUGAAAACUCUUUUACUUACAAAUUGCCUAUAUUUCACACUUUCCUUUUUUGAGAUUUCAGAAAGAAGGGCCAUGUUGUGGAAAUCUAAAGGUAAAUGGUCUGGAACACAGAAUAAAUUCAGCUUCGUAUUCAAUAAACGCUCCAAAAAAGGAG